UAGUCCACGCCGUAAACGAUGUCUACUAGCCGUUGGAACCCUUGUGGUUUUAGUGGCGCAGCUAACGCACUAAGUAGACCGCCUGGGGAGUACGGUCGCAAGAUUAAAACUCAAAUGAAUUGACGGGGGCCCGCACAAGCGGUGGAGCAUGUGGUUUAAUUCGACGCAACGCGAAGAACCUUACCUACUCUUGACAUCUAGAGAACUUUCCAGAGAUGGAUUGGUGCCUUCGGGAACUCUAAGACAGGUGCUGCAUGGCUGUCGUCAGCUCGUGUUGUGAAAUGUUGGGUUAAGUCCCGUAACGAGCGCAACCCUUAUCCUUAUUUGCCAGCGAGUAAUGUCGGGGACUAUAAGGAGACUGCCGGUGACAAACCGGAGGAAGGCGGGGACGACGUCAAGUCAUCAUGGCCCUUACGAGUAGGGCUACACACGUGCUACAAUGGCGCAUACAGAAGGUUGCGAACCCGCGAGGGGGAGCCGAAUCCGAGAAAGUGCGUCGUAGUCCGGAUCGCAGUCUGCAACUCG
rnacentral:rRNA from 1 species